CCAGACUCCUACGGGAGGCAGCAGUGGGGAAUAUUGCACAAUGGGGGAAACCCUGAUGCAGCGACGCCGCGUGAGCGAAGAAGUACCUCGGUAUGUAAAGCUCUAUCAGCAGGGAAGAAGAUGACGGUACCUGACCAAGAAGCUCCGGCUAAAUACGUGCCAGCAGCCGCGGUAAUACGUAUGGAGCAAGCGUUAUCCGGAUUUACUGGGUGUAAAGGGAGCGCAGGCGGCCUUGCAAGUCUGAUGUGAAAGCCCGGGGCCCAACCCCGGGACUGCUCUUGGAACUGCGUGGCUGGAGUGCAGGAGGGGCAGGCGGAAUUCCUGGUGUAGCGGUGAAAUGCGUAGAUAUUAGGAGGAACACCAGUGGCGAAGGCGGCCUGCUGGGCUUUUACUGACGCUGAGGCUCGAAAGUGUGGGGAGCAAACAGGAUUAGAUACCCCAGUA
rnacentral:rRNA from 1 species